rnacentral:rRNA from 1 species
AAAGCGUGCGCAGGCGGCCCGCGAGGUGUCACGUGAAAGCCCCGGGCUCAACCCGGGAGGGUCGUGGCAAACCGGCGGGCUUGAGGCCGGUAGAGGUGGGUGGAACUCCUGGUGGAGUGGUGAAAUGCGUAGAGAUCAGGAAGAACACCCGUGGCGAAGGCGGCCCACUGGGCCGGUACUGACGCUGAGGCACGAAGGCGUGGGGAGCGAACGGGAUUAGAUACCCUAGU